rnacentral:rRNA from 1 species
UACGAAGGGGGCUAGCGUUGCUCGGAAUCACUGGGCGUAAAGCGCACGUAGGCGGGUCCUUAAGUCAGGGGUGAAAUCCCGGAGCUCAACUCCGGAACUGCCUUUGAUACUGGGGAUCUUGAGUCCGGAAGAGGUGAGUGGAACUCCGAGUGUAGAGGUGAAAUUCGUAGAUAUUCGGAAGAACACCAGUGGCGAAGGCGGCUCACUGGUCCGGUACUGACGCUGAGGUGCGAAAGUGUGGGGAGCAAACAGG